rnacentral:rRNA from 1 species
CACGUAGGCACCAAGCGUUGUCCGGAUUUAUUGGGCGUAAAGGGCGCGUAGGCGGCCUUCUAAGUCGGACGUGAAAUCCCUCGGCUCAACCGAGGAACUGCGUCCGAUACUGGUUGGCUUGAAUUCGGGAGAGGGAUGCGGAAUUCCAGGUGUAGCGGUGAAAUGCGUAGAUAUCUGGAGGAACACCGGUGGCGAAGGCGGCAUCCUGGACCGAUAUUGACGCUGAACGGCGAAAGCUAGGGGAGCAAACGGG